CUCUCCCCUCUCUCACGCGUGCGACACCCUCUCUCCAUCUUUUUCUUCUUCUCUUUCCUGUACCCUAACCCAGCCGACCAUCAUCUUCUCCCCUUCCCUUGCCGUUCAGAUCCAUGGCCUCCGCCCACCGCCGCGUGACCCUCUGCCCAGCCCCGCCGCGUGACCUCUGUCUCCGUCGAAGCCAAGUCCAGCCGUCGUCCAUUCCUUUCCUCUCUUCUUCUCCGUUCGUGAAGCCCAGUCGCCGCGUCAGAUCGUCGAUCGAUUUUGAGGCAGCGCGCACGCCUCCUUCUAGCCGCGCGUUUCCUCUUCUUCCAGCAACGUGUUUUUUCUUCUAACCGCGAUUCACAAACCGACGUACACUCUAAUCUGUUUGCACGAUGGUUUUUGUUUAGAAUCGAUUGCCGCUGCCCCUAUUUUUACUGAGAUCCGUCGAAGUAUUGUUGGCAAAGGUAAUAAAGGCAGCAAACCGGCGAGGGGCAGGAAGGAAGCGUGACCGCCACAGGGGACACUUUAAAAUUUUGCUUCCGCUUAGUGAUUUAUAGUAUUAUUUGUAUUCGAACGUGAGACUGUUUAGAAAAUUUUGAAGUUUUAAAGUAUUCAAAGAUUUGAAACUUUUUAGUUUUAAA